CAGCAGCCACGGUAAUACGUAGGGUGCAAGCGUUAAUCGGAAUUACUGGGCGUAAAGCGUGCGCAGGCGGUUAUAUAAGACAGAUGUGAAAUCCCCGGGCUCAACCUGGGAACUGCAUUUGUGACUGUAUAGCUAGAGUACGGCAGAGGGGGAUGGAAUUCCGCGUGUAGCAGUGAAAUGCGUAGAUAUGCGGAGGAACACCGAUGGCGAAGGCAAUCCCCUGGGCCUGUACUGACGCUCAUGCACGAAAGCGUGGGGAGCAAACAGGAUUAGAUACCCGCGUAGUCCCUGUCUCUUAUAC
rnacentral:rRNA from 1 species